rnacentral:rRNA from 1 species
UGGGAAACUGGGGCUAAUACCGGAUAGGCAAUUUUUCCUGCAAUGGUUUUUUGUUUAAAUGUUUUUUCGCCUAAGGAUGAGUCUGCGGCCGAUUAGGUAGUUGGUUAGGUAAUGGCUUACCAAGCCGUUGAUCGGUACGGGUUGUGAGAGCAAGAGCCCGGAGAUGGAACCUGAGACAAGGUUCCAGGCCCUACGGGGUGCAGCAGGCGCGAAACCUCCGCAAUGUGAGAAAUCGCGACGGGGGGAUCCCAAGUGCCAUUCUUAACGGGAUGGCUUUUCAUUAGUGUAAAGAGCUUUUGGAAUAAGAGCUGGGCAAGACCGGUGCCAGCCGCCGCGGUAACACCGGCAGCUCUAGUGGUAACAAUUUUUAUUGGGCCUAAAGCGUCCGUAGCCGGUUUAAUAAGUCUCUGGUGAAAUCCUGUAGCUUAACUGUGGGAAUUGCUGGAGAUACUAUUAGACUUGAGACCGGGAGAGGUUAGAGGUACUCCCAGGGUAGAGGUGAAAUUCUGUAAUCCUGGGAGGACCGCCUGUUGCGAAGGCGUCUAACUGGAACGGUUCUGACGGUGAGGGACGAAAGUUAGGGGCGCGAACCGGAUUAGAUACCCGGGUAGUCCUAACUGUAAACGAUGCGGACUUGGUGUUGGGGUGGCUUUGAGCUGCUCCAGUGCCGAAGGGAAGCUGUUAAGUCCGCCGCCUGGGAAGUACGGUCGCAAGACUGAAACUUAA